rfam:Triticum aestivum genome assembly, contig: Triticum_aestivum_CS42_TGACv1_scaffold_374944_5AL
UUUCCCUCAGGAUAGCUGGAGCCCAUUACGAGUUCUAUCAGGUAAAGCCAAUGAUUAGAGGCAUUGGGGACGCAACGUCCUCGACCUAUUCUCAAACUUUAAAUAGUUAGGAUGGCGCGGCUGCUUCGGUGAGCAGGUAUAGUUGGUAUUCCCGGAUCUC